AACUUCACAGUUCGUUCAUCAAGGGAUAUGUGUGGGUCUCCAUCGACAGGACAAGUUGCCUGCUUCUUGAAGACCUUCUAUGAUGAUGCGCAACAUUGGCAAUUAUCGUACGUGUGAUCAUGGAUGCCUCCAUCUCCCUGCAAAGUGUGUGUCAUCAGACAUUGCAGCACAUCAUACCUACGACAGACGGUGGUGCGUGCCUUGUGCUGAAGACCUUCCAAGGUGGCCUGGGCAGUUACCGCACUUAAGAGCAUAGGUACUUCCAUUACUCUGCCAAGGUAACCUCUAGAGUUGGGGAAGUAUCGCCUCAUAUGCAAUGCCAAAACUUCCCUUU
rnacentral:lncRNA from 1 species